rnacentral:rRNA from 1 species
AGCGAACGCUGGCGGCAGGCCUAACACAUGCAAGUCGAACGAACCUUUCGGGGUUAGUGGCGGACGGGUGAGUAACACGUGGGAACGUGCCUUUAGGUUCGGAAUAACUCAGGGAAACUUGUGCUAAUACCGAAUGUGCCCUUCGGGGGAAAGAUUAAUCGCCUUUAGAACGGCCCGCGUCUGAUUAGCUAGUUGGUUGAGGUAAUGGCUCACCAAGGCGACGAGCAGUAGCUGGUCUGAGAGGAGGAGCAGCCACAUUGGGACUGAGACACGGCCCAAAGUAAUACGAGAGGGAGCAGGGGGGAAGAUUGAAAAAUGGGCGAAAGCAGGAACCAGCAAUGCCGGGGGAGGGAUGAAGGGCGUAGGGUUGGAAAGCGCUUUGAAACGGGAUGAUAAGGACAGGAGCGGGAGAAGAAGCACAGGCGAACUCCGGG